rnacentral:lncRNA from 1 species
UUUUGUUAUCAUUUCCCUCUCAGCAGAGCCUUCUGCCAGGGAAAGCCCUAUAGUAGGAGCUCCUAAGAGUGACUGAGGCUUGAGAACAGCCAGAAGGCAAGCAACAUGAAGCCAUUUAAAGCAAACCAGAGGAAGUCCAGUGCUUGACUAUUUAUUUUAUGAAGUUAGGGGCUGGAUAUGUUAAGCAAAUGUUUUUUUAAUUGUGGCAGUAUGAGAAAACAAUGGGGCAAGGGCUGCGGGGGACCGACCGGCAGUGUCAGGCCUCCACCCCUCCUACUCCCACCCCAAAAUCUCUAGAGAAUGACAGGAAAAAUUAAAGACGGGGCUUUUCUUUUCGUGGUCACAUGUCUACGCUGCUGCUGUAAUAAGAACCUGCACCAAUUAGAAAUGUUUCACCUUCUCCUCUCCGCCCCUCCCCGGGCACACUUCGGAGCAGACCGGGUUGUGGACUCCAGGAGUUUGCCAAACACAGCAAACACUGGCUCCAGCCAGGAAUGGAGACGCCAUUGGAUGUUUUGUCAAGGGCAGCAUCCCUGGUGCAUGCUGACGAUGAAAAACGUAAGUCAGGGAAUACAUUUUAAGUGUUUUUACCUAGGCCCCCAGUCUUCUGCAGUAGGAUACAGUCAUGUCUUUCUCCAUGUGUUUUGUGGCUUUCUGCUGUUAAUUUUGGCUGUUUUCUUCAGAGACAACAGCUUGGCAUCUUUGGUUUGUUUUCAAGUGCCAAAACAUGUUAGGCUUAUAAAUGUUACCUUUGGAUGUUGGGGCUUGAGUUGUUCACUCCAGGAAGUCUUUUCAUUUGCAGCUUACGCUGGCGGCAUCUGGAAUGGAGCUGCUUUUUAG